UACUAGAGUAGCACUCGCAUAUCAAUAAGCGGAGGAAAAGAAACUAACAAGGAUUCCCCUAGUAACGGCGAGUGAAGCGGGAAGAGCUCAAAUUUGAAAUCUUAAAGGGUUUCCCUUUACGAAUUGUAGUUUAAAGAAGUGUUUUCUGUUGAGGUUUUGGUAAAAGUUCUUUGGAAUAGGACAUCAUAGAGGGUGAGAAUCCCGUAUUUGACCUUUACUUUCAACUUUGUGGAUACACUUUCAAAGAGUCGGAUUGUUUGGGAAUGCAGUCCAAAAUGGGUGGUAAAUUUCAUCUAAAGCUAAAUAUUGGCGAGAGACCGAUAGCGAACAAGUAGCCGUGAGGGAAAGAUGAAAAGAACUUUGAAAAGAGAGUUAAACAGUACGUGAAAUUGUCAAAAGGGAAGCGUUUGACACCAGUGUUGUUUUUCUGAAAAUCAAUUAAAGAACUGUUUAUGCUAAGCUGUUUAGACUUUAUCAGCUAUCUGUUUAGUUUUGAGCUUUUCUUUAAUGCACUUUUCAGUUAACAAGUCAACAUCAAUUUCUUUUGCUGUAAAAAAGCUUGAGGAAGGUGGCUUGAGAUUCGUCUUAAGUGUUUAUAGCCUCUUGCCUAUGCAGUCGGAGAGAUUGAGGUCUGCAGCGUAGAUCCUUCGGGGCUAAAUGCAUUUGUGCUAAGUUAUAGCAUUUUAUAGACAACUUGUUGACUAUGAUUUGUCUUGUAGCUUACUCGCUUAUGUUAUUUUACCUACGCUUAGGAUGUUGAGCGCAUGUCUCUCUCUC
rnacentral:rRNA from 1 species